rnacentral:lncRNA from 1 species
CAGAUAAAUUUGCAAUUUUUGAAGUCAAUUAAAAUAUGACUCUUUGUAGAAUUUAGUUCCUUUUUUAACGGUCCAAAUUUUUACCAUCAAUUUAGAGCUACCUUAUUUUCAUUUCAUAUGAUUUAUUAUCUAUGGUCUGGAUUUAGUUUUUGGCUACCCAAAUUUCUGUUUUCUUUAUUUUUAUCUAUUUGAGAUACAGAUACAUCAUGGUGAUGCAUUUGUAAUUUUAACUUUGCUAAAAAAUAUUAGUAUAAACAUGUAGUAAUAAAAUAUAUAUAAUAUUUUUGAUAUAUUUUGUUCAUAACAGGAGCAAUAAUUUUACAUAUGUCUAAAUCAAACAAUGUCGAGGCAUUCAUUAAAUUUAUUCUUAAGUACAAACAUCAUAUGACUUAUACAAAAAUUAUACACUUCGAAAAUACAUAAAAACUAUUUUUCAACUUAAUUAUUUUGCAGUCAUAUUCUGUAGCAGACACACAUGAACAAAAAACACUUUGGAACCUCGCGAGCGAAACAUUUAUGGCAUCGACAAUCCUUGCUAGUUAAGCAGAACACGCGAUCUGUGAUGAGAAUAACUAUAAAGAGAUGAGUGAUUAUGUAAAUCGUAAAGAACAAAAUUUAAAACAGGUGUAAAAAGAACUUACCGUUGCUGGUCACAAGAACAAUUAGAGAAAGAAAGAUAAUCAAAGCAUCGGCG